AAGACUAUACUUUCGGGGAUCAUUUCUAUAGUAUGUGACUAGAGAAUUGUGGCUGAGGUAUAGCACAGAGGCUUUCACGAGGAGGAGCUGGAGUGGUGUUUUUCUUCUGAGCGUGAAGCCGGCUUGUGGUGCUGCUUCUCAGCAGCUGUCACUUGCCAUUGAUGAUCGUUCUUCCCUCCCUUCGAGUUUGGGUGAGAGGAAGGAACGCAGGCUGGUGGC
rnacentral:snoRNA from 1 species